CCAAGAGGCACCUAGUAUCCCUUUCUGGCAGCCCAAGCAGAAGACAAGCAGUUCACAGCUUGAUUCCUUGCUUCUGGCAGCUCAAAAAUGGUAAAUGCAACAGGAGUUCUGUGGAAAACAGCCUGAUGAAAAGGCAUAAUUAGACAUCAUUUACCCAUGGCAGACAGGGAGACUAAAGUGUACCGUAGCCACACCUGAGGUUUAAAUGAGCUGUGUUGGAUGGUAGGAGACCUUGCUGAGAUCAAGCUACCUCCUUCAACUGACAAUGACUAUGUGACACUUGGAUUCCCAGGAAAAGCCAUCUAGCACAGAUGGGGACAAAGAAAGGAAAAUAAAUGCUACAGUCAGGCUUAUAAAUCUCUUCUGAGACAGAUGCUAUAGAGUCCCCAAACACUGCUGAACUACCAGUUUCAUUACAUGAGGUUGAGGAAAGUGAGAAAUAGAGAACAGACAGACAGAUUCCAGAUUCUCUAACAACCUGUGGCAGGACACUGCAUGCAAAGAAGAGAUGUCAUGACUUUGGUCUGUGAAGUAUGUGAAGCUAGUGGUCAUACACUCAGAUAAGGAAUAAAAAAGGCCUGCGCCAGAGCAAC